rnacentral:misc_RNA from 1 species
GGAAGAACGUAGCGAAAUGCGAUAAGUAAUGUGAAUUGCAGAAUUCAGUGAAUCAUCGAAUCUUUGAACGCACAUUGCGCCCCUUGGUAUUCCGAGGGGCAUGCCUGUUCGAGCGUCAUUAUAACCCCUCAAGCUCAGCUUGGUGUUGGGGCCUGCUGCACUGGCAGCCCUUAAAAUCAGUGGCGGCGCCAUCUGGCUCUAAGCGUAGUAAUUCUUCUCGCUAUGGAGUCCUGGUGGAUGCUUGCCAUCAACCCCCAAUUUUUCUAUGGUUGACCUCGGAUCAGGUAGGGAUACCCGCUGAACUUAAGCAUAUCAAUAAGCGGAGGA